GACGAAGGGGGCUAGCGUUGUUCGGAAUUACUGGGCGUAAAGCGAGUGUAGGUGGUUGUCUUAGUCAGGCGUGAAAGCCUUGAGCUCAACUCAAGAAAUGCGCUUGAUACUGGGCAGCUAGAGGACCGGAGAGGAUAGUGGAAUUCCCAGUGUAGUGGUGAAAUACGUAGAGAUUGGGAAGAACACCAGUGGCGAAGGCGGCUAUCUGGACGGUUUCUGACACUAAGACUCGAAAGCGUGGGGAGCAAACAGG
rnacentral:rRNA from 1 species